rnacentral:lncRNA from 10 species
GGCAUGACAAUGCCACAAGACCUGAGACAGAAUUUCCAGAGUGACUUUACAUUCUGAAGAUCCACCCAGGCUCAGGGGACUCCUCAGCUCUACUUAUGGGUAUGCAAAAUAAUGUUUCCUAUAUAUAUUCAAUAAGAGGCUAAGUGUUAAAACAUAGACUCUGGAUGCAGACCAACCCGGGCUCAUAUCUCAACUCUACCACCUGCUGAAUAUGUGAUGUUUGAUGUGCAGCCUCUCUAAGCCUCCAGUCUUUUCUCUUUGAAAUGAGAGAUUACAAUUUUUUGGUUAUCUCAGUGACUGGUAAACGGAUUUUCCUGAUAUUCCAAGAAUUUUGAUUAUCUGUUGCUGCAUUAAAAUACUGCCCCUAAACCUCAAAAGCAUAUUAGUAAGUGAAAGAAGCCAAUCUGCAAAAGUUUCAUACUGUGUGAUCCCCGUUAUACAAUAUUGUGGAAAAAGGCAAAACUAUGGAGACAGCAAAAAGAUCAGUGGUUGCCAAGGGUUAGAGGGAGGGAGGGAUGAACAGGCAGAGCACAGAGGAUUUUUA